rnacentral:lncRNA from 1 species
UGGUUGCUGUGCAGGUGUAAUGUGAUGUGUGUUGUGGUUCCGGGAUGCUGUGAUUGUGCAAGCGAUUUCUUUCGGGCGGUCCUGUAGUGGGUUACGUGUCCGGUAGCCUUUAUCCCUGGGGGUGUGACUAUAGUUCGGUUGGUGUCUCUGGGUUCGGUGACCUUGCGUAGGGCUGUGUGCGGUGUUCUGUGUCCGUGACUCUGCAUCGGCGCGGCCCGGAUGUCAUCUUCUUAUUGGAGCAAGGAAAAGAAUCAUGGAUGGUUACAAAUUAUAUGACAAGACCUUGGCAUCCAGGUGGGUAAGACCUGGUCUGGGUGGAGAGGUCAU